GGGGGACCAUCCUCCAAGGCUAAAUACUCCUGACUGACCGAUAGUGAACCAGUACCGUGAGGGAAAGGCGAAAAGAACCCCGGCGAGGGGAGUGAAAAAGAACCUGAAACCGUGUACGUACAAGCAGUGGGAGCACAGAGCAAUCUGUGUGACUGCGUACCUUUUGUAUAAUGGGUCAGCGACUUAUAUUCUGUAGCAAGGUUAACCGAAUAGGGGAGCCGAAGGGAAACCGAGUCUUAACUGGGCGUUAAGUUGCAGGGUAUAGACCCGAAACCCGGUGAUCUAGCCAUGGGCAGGUUGAAGGUUGGGUAACACUAACUGGAGGACCGAACCGACUAAUGUUGAAAAAUUAGCGGAUGACUUGUGGCUGGGGGUGAAAGGCCAAUCAAACCGGGAGAUAGCUGGUUCUCCCCGAAAGCUAUUUAGGUAGCGCCUCGUGAAUUCAUCUCCGGGGGUAGAGCACUGUUUCGGCAAGGGGGUCAUCCCGACUUACCAACCCGAUGCAAACUGCGAAUACCGGAGAAUGUUAUCACGGGAGACACACGGCGGGUGCUAACGUCCGUCGUGAAGAGGGAAACAACCCAGACCGCCAGCUAAGGUCCCAAAGUCAUGGUUAAGUGGGAAACGAUGUGGGAAGGCCCAGACAGCCAGGAUGUUGGCUUAGAAGCAGCCAUCAUUUAAAGAAAGCGUAAUAGCUCACUGGUCGAGUCGGCCUGCGCGGAAGAUGUAACGGGGCUAAACCAUGCACCGAAGCUGCGGCAGCGACACUGUGUGUUGUUGGGUAGGGGAGCGUUCUGUAAGCCUGUGAAGGUGUGCUGUGAGGCAUGCUGGAGGUAUCAGAAGUGCGAAUGCUGACAUAAGUAACGAUAAAGCGGGUGAAAAGCCCGCUCGCCGGAAGACCAAGGGUUCCUGUCCAACGUUAAUCGGGGCAGGGUGAGUCGACCCCUAAGGCGAGGCCGAAAGGCGUAGUCGAUGGGAAACAGGUUAAUAUUCCUGUACUUGGUGUUACUGCGAAGGGGGGACGGAGAAGGCUAUGUUGGCCGGGCGACGGUUGUCCCGGUUUAAGCGUGUAGGCUGGUUUUCCAGGCAAAUCCGGAAAAUCAAGGCUGAGGCGUGAUGACGAGGCACUACGGUGCUGAAGCAACAAAUGCCCUGCUUCCAGGAAAAGCCUCUAAGCAUCAGGUAACAUCAAAUCGUACCCCAAACCGACACAGGUGGUCAGGUAGAGAAUACCAAGGCGCUUGAGAGAACUCGGGUGAAGGAACUAGGCAAAAUGGUGCCGUAACUUCGGGAGAAGGCACGCUGAUAUGUAGGUGAAGUCCCUCGCGGAUGGAGCUGAAAUCAGUCGAAGAUACCAGCUGGCUGCAACUGUUUAUUAAAAACACAGCACUGUGCAAACACGAAAGUGGACGUAUACGGUGUGACGCCUGCCCGGUGCCGGAAGGUUAAUUGAUGGGGUCAGCGCAAGCGAAGCUCUUGAUCGAAGCCCCGGUAAACGGCGGCCGUAACUAUAACGGUCCUAAGGUAGCGAAAUUCCUUGUCGGGUAAGUUCCGACCUGCACGAAUGGCGUAAUGAUGGCCAGGCUGUCUCCACCCGAGACUCAGUGAAAUUGAACUCGCUGUGAAGAUGCAGUGUACCCGCGGCAAGACGGAAAGACCCCGUGAACCUUUACUAUAGCUUGACACUGAACAUUGAGCCUUGAUGUGUAGGAUAGGUGGGAGGCUUUGAAGUGUGGACGCCAGUCUGCAUGGAGCCGACCUUGAAAUACCACCCUUUAAUGUUUGAUGUUCUAACGUGGACCCGUGAUCCGGGUUGCGGACAGUGUCUGGUGGGUAGUUUGACUGGGGCGGUCUCCUCCUAAAGAGUAACGGAGGAGCACGAAGGUUGGCUAAUCCUGGUCGGACAUCAGGAGGUUAGUGCAAUGGCAUAAGCCAGCUUGACUGCGAGCGUGACGGCGCGAGCAGGUGCGAAAGCAGGUCAUAGUGAUCCGGUGGUUCUGAAUGGAAGGGCCAUCGCUCAACGGAUAAAAGGUACUCCGGGGAUAACAGGCUGAUACCGCCCAAGAGUUCAUAUCGACGGCGGUGUUUGGCACCUCGAUGUCGGCUCAUCACAUCCUGGGGCUGAAGUAGGUCCCAAGGGUAUGGCUGUUCGCCAUUUAAAGUGGUACGCGAGCUGGGUUUAGAACGUCGUGAGACAGUUCGGUCCCUAUCUGCCGUGGGCGCUGGAGAACUGAGGGGGGCUGCUCCUAGUACGAGAGGACCGGAGUGGACGCAUCACUGGUGUUCGGGUUGUCAUGCCAAUGGCACUGCCCGGUAGCUAAAUGCGGAAGAGAUAAGUGCUGAAAGCAUCUAAGCACGAAACUUGCCCCGAGAUGAGUUCUCCCUGACCCUUUAAGGGUCCUGAAGGAACGUUGAAGACGACGACGUUGAUAGGCCGGGUGUGUAAGCGCAGCGAUGCGUUGAGCUAACCGGUACUAAUGAACCGUGAGGCUUAACCUUACAACGCCGAAGGUGUUU
rnacentral:rRNA from 1 species